CCCUUAGAUGUUCUGGGCCGCACGCGCGCUACACUGACGAAUGCAACGAGCUUAUAACCUUGGCCGAAAGGUCUGGGUAAUCUCCAAAUUUCGUCGUGAUGGGGUUAGAUUAUUGCAAUUAUUAAUCUUCAACGAGGAAUGCCUAGUAAGCGCAAGUCAUCAGCUUGCGUUGAUUACGUCCCUGCCCUUUGUACACACCGCCCGUCGCUCCUACCGAUUGAAUGGUCCGGUGAAGCGUUCGGACCGUGGCCUUUGGACGGUUCGCCGUCUGUUGGCUGCGGGAAGUUCGUUAAACCUUAUCAUUUAGAGGAAGGAGAANUCGUAACA
rnacentral:rRNA from 1 species